UGCGGGGUGGAGCAGUUGGUAGCUCGCGAGGCUCAUAACCUCGAGGUCACAGGUUCGAGUCCUGUCCCCGCUA
rnacentral:tRNA from 3 species